rnacentral:rRNA from 1 species
CGGGUGAGUAACGCGUGAGGGACCUGCCUCAAAGAGGGGGACAACAGUUGGAAACGACUGCUAAUACCGCAUAAGCCCACGGCUCGGCAUCGAGCAGAGGGAAAAGGAGCAAUCCGCUUUGAGAUGGCCUCGCGUCCGAUUAGCUAGUUGGUGAGGUAAUGGCCCACCAAGGCGACGAUCGGUAGCCGGACUGAGAGGUUGAACGGCCACAUUGGGACUGAGACACGGCCCAG